UGCCCAGCAACGCCUAUCCUUACCUCCUCGUGAUACUGGCCGGGGUACGAGUAACCUUAGGGAAGAUCUGGUAACCAACCCCGGUGGAAACUUUGAUCGUAUGCUGACAGGGAAGG
rnacentral:ribozyme from 1 species